GAUUCUGAUUUUCAGUACUAA
rnacentral:misc_RNA from 1 species